rnacentral:rRNA from 1 species
UGCCAGACUCCUACGGGAGGCAGCAGUGGGGAAUAUUGCACAAUGGGGGGAACCCUGAUGCAGCGACGCCGCGUGGGUGAGGAAGUACUUCGGUAUGUAAAGCUCUAUCAGCAGGGAAGAAGAUGACGGUACCUGACCAAGAAGCCCCGGCUAACUACGUGCCAGCAGCCGCGGUAAUACGUAGGGGGCAAGCGUUAUCCGGAUUUACUGGGUGUAAAGGGAGCGCAGACGGCAGCGCAAGUCUGGAGUGAAAGCCCGGGGCCCAACCCCGGAACUGCUCUGGAAACUGUGCGGCUAGAGUACUGGAGGGGCAGGCGGAAUUCCUAGUGUAGCGGUGAAAUGCGUAGAUAUUAGGAGGAACACCAGUGGCGAAGGCGGCCUGCUGGACAGUAACUGACGUUGAGGCUCGAAAGCGUGGGGAGCAAACAGGAUUAGAUACCCUGGUAUC